AGCAGGAGCACGGAAGCGAAAAUGAAGGGUUACACCUAUCUGAUUCUGGCUAUUUGCCUCAGCUGUGCCAUUGCCGUGUCAAUUCCCAAAGAGAGAUCUACGGUGGAUCAGCUUCUGGUAGAGCUGCGUGAAUUACUGGAGGAGAACCUGGCACUCGAGGAGCGUGGGGACACUUACAGCCCUACCAAAAAAUGUCCAAGAGGCUACUAUUGCUAGCGACGAACGUCCCGAGCUUACAGCGGCGUGUGCAAACCAAUACCUAAAAACCUAUCUCCAGUUUACGACGCCCCGACAAAGUCAUCGGAUGAUGUAUUUUAAUGAAAUUUAGCAGUGCCAUAGAGGCAGACAUACUUAUCAUCUGUGUGAAAUUAUAUGUAAAUUAAUUAUGUCUCUGCAUAAUUAUGACUCAUUAAUUAUUCAUGAUACCAACUUUUUACCUUCUUUCGAUUGUCGGGCGAUUUUAUUGCAUUUUUCACAUCAAAGAUGCUGUAUGGAUUGUACAUAUUCAGAAGAAAUGAAACCAGAGAUGCUGUGAGCUGUAUACAGUAAUAUGCAUAAGCAAAAAUCAACGGGGGGGGGGCGGAUUCUGCCCCCGGCUCUUUGAGGGUUAAACCUUUAAACAACGAAAGCACACAGUAACGUUGGUGACAUUCGUAUCGAAGAGACCGGAUAAGUCCAAUGCUGUAGAAAGAAUGCAAACUAUUCUUUUGACGCAUUUGCAACAAUUGACAUUAGCUCCAACUGAUUUGCAUAAGGUUUUCAACUUUUUUUUAAAAUCCCCACCACACUUGACUUGUUGAAGUUCCCGACUCCUGGAUAGAGUCAAAGCAACCCAAUAGUUUUGUCAGUUAUAAUCAAAUGAGAUGAUGAUGCCUCAUGUUUUGUUUGAUCACAUCAUCCAUUCCUUAGAAAAUAUCCUCCCAACCUCCCUUGGCACAUUGUACUGUUAGCCUAUAGAUGUUUAAUUAAGAUUACAUUCUGUCAAAAACUGUUUUUAACACUCGGGUUACUCUGAAUAAAAGUGAAUCUAA